rnacentral:lncRNA from 1 species
UGAAAGAUACUUAAUUCAUAAGAUUAAGAAAGUAUUAUACACAAACAAAAUAGAAUUCUAAUGGGAUUAGGGAAACUUUUAACUUCCAUAAUGAUCCGUACGUUGCAUAUCAAUAUUGUCCACUUUCGAGCUCGAUUUAGCCAAUACUAAUUAGAUACAAAAUUGUAUUCUUUUUUAUCUAAAUCGAAUAUCGGAGUCAAAAGUUAUGGCCAAAAUACCGAGACUAGUUUUCAAAAAAAUCUACCAGCAUUCUUACUAUAAGUAAGGGUGUUCGAACGGUUGCCAACUGUAAGCAAGACCGUUCGAACGGUCAGGCAAAAAUCUAAUUUUCAGGCCUCGCAUGUUUUCAACUGCAAGCAAGACCGUUCGAUCAGUCAAUGCAAUUUUUGCCCAAUUUUAAUUUUUUCUCAACAUUAACCUGCAAUGAACUCAGACACGACUAUAAGUACGAAAUACGAAAAAAGAAUAUAAUUAAACUAAUUUAGGGCCAACUUGGGUCGAUUUAAUGGCGCUUGGACUACAAUUAUGCAGUCCAAUCACUUAGCCUAAUUGCUCAUACAGACAGCAUAUUGUUACUUCAUAGGAAUAGGUAGGUUAAAAAGGUUUUACCAUUUUCUACCACGUGCUUAUACCACUGAGUACACCAACCUUUUGAACCUAGAUCUUGGAAUAUCUAGUCAACUAGGUUGCAUUUCCACUAUGGCACUCUUUGACUAGAGAUUUUAGUUUCAUUCUCCUCGAAAAUUUAUAAACUUUCUCUCUAGGUAAACCUUUUUAUAAGUAGGUCCGCGAUGUUAUCCUUAAAUUUUACAUAAUCUAUAGAGAUAACUUCAUUAGAGAGAAGUUAUUUAAUGGUAUUGUAUCUAACGACGAAUAUGCUUAGACUUACCAUUUACAAUUUACUUUGUGCCCCUCUUUCAAUUGUUUAUGAUCUAUCACAAUUAUACAACUACAGGCAUAAAUUUUUUGCCUCAAUUUGACAUCUUUUUUUAAAAUGUCGAAUUCAUUCAGUCUCUUCUUUGGCUUUGUCUAGAGAAAUAAAUUUUGCCUCCAUAGUAGAUCUGGCAAUGUAAGUUUGUUUAAAGGAUUUUCAAGAUACUGCAGCACCUUCAAUACUAAAGACAUAACCACUCAUGAAUUUAGAAUGUUUAGAGUCUAAGAUCCAAUUGCCAUCACAAUAUCCAUCAGGUACUGUAGAAUAUCCAAAAUAAAAUAAUUCAUGAUUUUGUGUAUAUCUAAGAUAUCUUAAAACUCGAAUUAUUGCUUUUCAAUAAUUUUCUCCAUGAUUACUAGUAAAUCUACUCAAUUUAUUAAUUACAUAAACAAUAUCUAAUAUUGUACAAUUCAUUAAGUACAUUAGACUGCCUAUAAUUCUUGAGUAUAACAAUUGAGAUACUGUUUCUCUAGUAUUCUUUGUUAGAUGUAAAUUUAUAUCUAUCGGAAAUGUUAUUUUUUCAUCCCUAUUCUUGUUAAAUUUCUCUAAAUUUUAUCACAUAAUGUGAUUGUGAUAGAAUUCCCUUUAGGUGUUCUUUUGAUUUUCAUUCUCAGAAUUACGAGUCUGCUAUAAUACCAGGUCUUUCAUGUCAAUUUUGAUAGCAUUAGAAUAUUUUUCUAGAUGGUGAUCAUGUAAUUAUUACUUUCAUUCAAUAAGUAACAUUCAGUUACAUAUAAACAAACGAUAAAAAUAUAAUCUAUUUUAGUAUGUUUGAUAUAAAUACACAUUUGUCACGUUCAUUAAUUUUAAAUCAUUUGAAAUCAUGACAUUGUCAAAUUUUUUAUAAGAAUUUUACAAGUUUUACACCCCUUAUUCUUAUUUCUAAUGAGUUUUAAAAACUCUCGGGGUUUGCUCCAUGUAAAAUUUCUUCUACUAAUUCCCAUUAGGAAUGUUGUCUUUACAUCCAUUUUAUGAAUUUAUGAUUUGUUUUAUAGCAACAAUGCUAUUAACAAUCAAUAGAUUUAAUUCUCUUAACAAGAGAGUAUGUAUCAAAUAAUCGGAUUCCUCCUUUUGUCCUAUAGUCAGCUUUUACUACAAGUCCAUUUGCUUGUCAUUUUAUUUAUAAACCCUCCAUCUUUUCACUUCAUUUGAAAAUUCACUUAUAUCCAAGUGGUUUAUUUCCAAGAGAAAGAUCCACCAAUUCCCAAAUGUGAUUUUGGGGAACUAAUUAUAUUUCACUAUUAAUCGGGUUUUUUCAUUGAGAUGCUUCUGAACAAAACAUUGCUUCACUAAAGCUUUGUGGUUCACUUUGUAUAUGAUAUGUUAUAAAAUCUAAACCAAAAGAUUUAAUAAUUUUUGCUCUUUUACUUUGUUUAUUAUUUCUCUUUAGGUGAUGUAUUUGAUUCAUCUAUCUUCUCAUGAGAUCUUUUUAAAAACCUUAUUCUCGUACGUCUUUGUAAGGGAAUACAAAUCCUCAAAAAAAUAAUCCUAUCUUAACUCUAUGAUAGUAAUUCUUAUGUAUAUCCAAAAUUUUAGACUUUUUGUACUAGAAAUCUAUAUGCAAUC